GUCGAACGGUGAAGCAGGAGCUUGCUCUUGUGGAUCAGUGGCGAACGGGUGAGUAACACGUGAGUAACCUGCCCUUGACUCUGGGAUAAGCGUUGGAAACGACGUCUAAUACUGGAUACGAACCGCAACCGCAUGGUUAGUGGUUGGAAAGAUUUUUUGGUCAAGGAUGGACUCGCGGCCUAUCAGCUUGUUGGUGAGGUAAUGGCUCACCAAGGCGACGACGGGUAGCCGGCCUGAGAGGGUGACCGGCCACACUGGGACUGAGACACGGCCCAGACUCCUACGGGAGGCAGCAGUGGGGAAUAUUGCACAAUGGGCGAAAGCCUGAUGCAGCAACGCCGCGUGAGGGAUGACGGCCUUCGGGUUGUAAACCUCUUUUAGUAGGGAAGAAGCGAAAGUGACGGUACCUGCAGAAAAAGCACCGGCUAACUACGUGCCAGCAGCCGCGGUAAUACGUAGGGUGCAAGCGUUGUCCGGAAUUAUUGGGCGUAAAGAGCUCGUAGGCGGUUUGUCGCGUCUGCUGUGAAAACUGGAGGCUCAACCUCCAGCCUGCAGUGGGUACGGGCAGACUAGAGUGCGGUAGGGGAGAUUGGAAUUCCUGGUGUAGCGGUGGAAUGCGCAGAUAUCAGGAGGAACACCGAUGGCGAAGGCAGAUCUCUGGGCCGUAACUGACGCUGAGGAGCGAAAGCGUGGGGAGCGAACAGGAUUAGAUACCCUGGUAGUCCACGCCGUAAACGUUGGGAACUAGAUGUGGGGGCCAUUCCACGGUCUCCGUGUCGCAGCUAACG
rnacentral:rRNA from 1 species